AUUGUUCUCAACCAGUAAGUUUCCUUUGUUAGUUUCUUGCAAACUGCAUGCCUCUACAGAAUCUCCUGGAACUGUAUAGAAAUUAAGUGACUUUACAGGACAAAGAAACAAUGGACUUCAUCCGCCAACUAAAAACUAAUUUAAGAGAAAACUUAGGAAGAUAUUGAAAUUGCCCAGGAGGAACUGUUACCCCUUCAACAACAACAGGAAUUGACAAAUGGUGAGUAGACGCAGCAGUGACCCUGAUUUGGGUGCAGUGAUCUGGAGAAGAGGAGCUUCCUCAAAGAGCCCUUUAUGGAGGCCAGAUUGAUGAUGUAAUGGGCUAACAAAGGGCAAGCUUUGAGA